UACAGAGGUGGCAAGCGUUGUUCGGAAUUACUGGGCGUAAAGGGCGCGUAGGCGGCCUUCUAAGUCAGACGUGAAAUCCCCCGGCUUAACCUGGGAACUGCGUCUGAUACUGGAGGGCUUGAGUAUGGGAGAGGGAUGUAGAAUUCCAGGUGUAGCGGUGAAAUGCGUAGAUAUCUGGAGGAACACCGGUGGCGAAGGCGGCAUCCUGGACCACGACUGACGCUGAGUGAGCGAAAGCCAGGGGAGCAAACGGG
rnacentral:rRNA from 1 species